rnacentral:tRNA from 1 species
AGGGGCGUAAGCUCAAUGGUAAACUGCCUCUCUCCAAAAGAGGUCUUGAGGGUUCGAAUCCUUCCGCCCCUGCCA